rnacentral:lncRNA from 1 species
CUGGCCCCACCCACAUCCUGCUGAUUGGCCCAUUUUACAAGAGACGAUUGGUCCGUUUUGACAGGGUGCUGACUGGUGCAUUUACAAUCCCUGAGCUAGACACAAAAGUUCUCCAAGUCCCCACUAGAUUAGCUAGAUAGAGUGUCCACACAAAGGUUCUCCAAGUCCCCACCAGAGUAGCUAGAUACUGAGUGUCAAUUGCUGCAUUCACAAACCCUGAGCUAGACACAGGGUGCUGAUUGGUGUGUUUACAAACGUUGAGUUAGAUACAGAGUGCCGAUUGGUGUAUUUACAAUCCAUUAGCUAGACAUAAAGGUUCUCCAAGUCCCCACCAGAGUAGCUAGAUACAGAGUGUGGAUUGGUACAUUCAUAAACCCUGAGCUAGACAAAGGGUGCUGAUUGGUGUGUUUACGAACCUUGAGCUAGAUACAGAGUGCCCAUUGGUGUAUUUACAAUACCUUAGGUAGACAUAAAGGUUCUCCAAGUCCCCGCCAGACUCAGACGCCCAGCUGGCUUCACCCAGUGGAUCCCACACGGUGGCCACAGGUGGAGCUGCCUGCCAGUCCCAAGCCCUGAGCCCGCACUCCUCAGCCUUUGGGUGGUCCAUGGGACUGGGUGCCAUGGAGCAGGGGGCGGGGCUCGUCCGGGAGGCUCCAGGGGCACAGCAGCCCACGGCAGGUGGCGGUGAGGCUCAGGCAUGGCGGGCUGCAGGUCCCAAGCCCUGCCCCGCAAGGAGGAGCUAAGGCCCUGCGAGAAAAGGAGGCAGCUAAGGCCCGGUGAGAAGUCGAGCACAGCAGCUGCUGGCCCAGGGGCUAAGCCCCUUACUGCCCGGCUGGCGGGGCCGGCUGGCUGCUCCGAGUGUGGGGGCCCGCCGAGCCCACGCCCAUCCAGAGCUCACGCUGGCUCACAAGCGGCACGCACAGCCCCGGUUCCCGCCUACGCCUCUCCCUCCUCACAUCCGGGCAAGCUGAGGGAGCCGGCUCCGGCCUUGGCCAGCCCAGGAAGGGGCUCCCCCAGUGCAGCCGCCGGCUGAAGGGCUCCCCAAGUGCCGCCAGAGUGGGCGCGGAGGCCGAAGAGGCACCGAGAGCGAGCGAGGGCUGUGAGGGCCGCCAGCAAGCUGUCACCUCUCAGUACCGCACAGGUUAAGGAAAAAGAACAAAACAAAACUGGCUAUCUGGAUCAACUGGGAUGCUAGGAAAAGCACUGCAGAGUCGUCAGUCAGGUGCAACCACAAGAGGGGACACAGAAGAGUGACCGGAAAACAAAACGUAUUAUAUUCACAUGUUCGGGAGAGAUAGAGUGACAGCAUGCAACGCAGGGGACCAUGUGAGAGGAGCACCAAUGGCACAGGCUCUACUAAGUAGUGUUACUGAAACAACAGAGGUUUGGUCUAGGUCCUGUUGCUUGCCAUACAGAAAGCCAAUCAGUGAGUCAACCAAUAUUUCCAGGAAAGAAGGCAUUAGUAUGGUGUUGCAGCUGAGGAGAUGGGAGAUCAGUUUCAAAUCCGUCUCCUCAACUGACUAAAAUUAGGAGUUUAUUUAGCAGGGAAGAAGUGUAACCAUGUGAGGUAAAAUGGAAAUUAGAGAGGGGUAAAGAAGAGGAGUUAGUCAACAGGAAGUAGGUGGACAGUUAGGCAAUCACGAUGGGUGAAAGGGUCUGGCAUUUCAAUGUCCAGAUGCUGUCAUCUGAUGAGUUUCAGUGCCUUGAUACUAUCUGGGAGCCCUAUUGGUUGGUUUCCUGGGAAAGGGACUUGGGUAAGACAAAAGUAACAUUCUCAAGUUUUAAGACUGGGAGGAUCAAUUUCUAUGUUCAUUCAAAAGAAACUAUAAACAUCAGUUCUAUGGGACAAUUGAGCUGGUUUCACAGGUGUGGAGUUGAAAGAGCAUAAAGACCCAGCGGCAAGUGGCUUUACUGGGGUUCAGGGUGGUGAACACAAGCAAAAGGUGCAAGACAAUUUCCUUGAUACAUUUGAAUGUCACGAGGCCACAGCCAUGUGAGGGCAAGAAAGGGAGCUUGUAGCAGGGGCUAGUCUUAUCAUGCUGGUAUGCCUGGUUACCUUGGUGGGGUGUUCACAGCCUGUUUGUGUGAAUGUUGAGACAACAGGAAAAUAUAGAGAUUUAAAAUUACAAUAGUCUGUAAAUUUUUUUUCCUAAGUGAUUCAAAAAGUAAGAAAUUUUGAUUUUUUUUUUGUUUUGCAAAGCAUGUAAUCAUUAAAAGCUUUUUCCUUCCUUUAUUUAUAAAAGUCAAUACAUGGUAGUCACAUUUUAAAAUUUCUAUGUCCUUUUAAGUUCUUAAUGAAGUAUAACGUCUGUAGAAAAUUGUGCCCAUAUCGUAAACUUCAGUGGAUUCUAUAAUCAGAAGACACUUGUUUAAUCAGUCAGAUCAAAAACAGUAUAAUGCCAUCAUCCCAGAACAUUCUCAUUUCAGUCACUAGUUAACUACUCACUUGACAUCUAAAACCAAAGGUUAGUGUUACACUUUUUUUGUAUUUAAUAUAAAUGAAAUUAUUCAUUGUGUACAUAGUGUAUAAUUAAUCUCAUUGUGUGACUAUUCCUCAAUUAACUUAUGUCUUCUCCUGUAGCUGGGCAUUUGGGUAGUUUUUAGUUUUAGCUCACAAAUAAUGCUGCUCUGAAUAUUCUCCUGAAUGUCUUUUAUUGAAAAUACUGAUGCACUGCUGUUCGGUUUAGGUAUGUACAUAGGCACGGAAUUGCUUUUUGAAAAUAAGUAUGUUCGCCUUUUGCAGAUACUGUAGAGAGUUUUCUGAAUCAGCCUUCUGCUUAAGUUUUGAGGUUCAAACUUCAAAGCUUGUCAAUUUGGAAUAUGCAGAGUGCUUGAUGCCAAGAAGUAUCAAUUUAGGAUGCCACUUGCCUAAAUACCGAUCAAAUAAUAUUCAAUAACAAAAUGAUACAAACCUACAAAAGGAAGGGCACAGGACAGGAAGAAGUAUGAACAAGAAAAAAAAAAUAGGCUGGGUGCGGUGGCUCACGCCUGUAAUCCCAGCACUUUGGGAGGCUGAGGUAAGCAGAUCAUGAGGUCAGGAGAUUGAGACCAUCCUGGCCAACAGGGUGAACCUCGUCUCUACCAAAAAUACAAAAAUUAGCUGGGUGUGGUGCCGCGCGCUUGUGUCCCAGCUGCUCUGGAGGCUGAAGCAGGAGAAUUGCUUGAAGCCGGGAGGUGGAGGUUGCAGUGAGCCAAGAUCGUGCCACUGCACUCCAGCCUAGUGACAGAGCGAGACUCCGUCUCAAAAACAAACAAACAAAAAAAAAAAACUGGCCCAAAACUGAUAAAAAUGCAGUCUGAAUAAGUAGAGCAAAAGGCGCAGAAAAUGUUUCCUCUUAGAAGAGGCCUUGAAGACUUUAUAUCUGAGAACUAAAUAUAGCAAUUUUAUUAAGUUAUAUAUAAUAAUAUUGAGAUUUUAAAAUACAGUGAUGGAAAAACUAGAACACUUAAAGAUAGAACAGCCAACUUCUCAUCAGAAAUAUGAAAGUUAUAAGGCAAAUAGUUUUCACAGUAUAGUUCUAGAACCAGCAAUAUUGGCAUCACUUUGAACAUGAUUAGAAAUUCAAACUCUCAAGACCUACCCAGAUCCACUGAUUUGGAAACUAUAUCAGUAAUCUGGUUUUUUUAAUAAUUUUUUUAAUUUGUAAUUUUUUAAUUAUUAUUUUUGUAGAGACGAGGUCUUGCUGAGUUGCCUAAGCUGGUCUUGAACUCCUGGACUCAAGUGAUCCUCCUACCUCGGCCUCCCAAAAGCAGCAAUCUAUGUUUUAACAGACUCUCCCUGUGAUUCUCAUGUGUGUUUAUGUUUGAGAACCACUGCUUCAAGACAAUGAGGUCCUUAUCUACCUGCUAGAGCCGGGGAUGUUUACUAAUGGACUGAUAUAUUACCUAAGAUUUCGGCUAUGAUUUAAUACAGAUAUGAGAAGAAAUAUGAUGUUCAUUUUAAGAUGACUCAGAUAGUGUUAACUAGGGAUGGAUUAAAUUGAGAGCCCAGGCUGGAGUGCAGUGGCGUGAUCUUGGCUCACUGCAAGUUCCCAUCUCCAGAGUUCACACCAUUCUGCUGCCUCAGACUCCGGAGUAGCUGGGACUCAGGAGCACGCCACCACGCUCGGCUAAUUUUUUUGUGUUUUUUUUAGUAGAGAUGGGGUUUCACCGUGUUAGCCAGGAUGGUCUCGAUCUCCUGACCUUGUGAUCCGCCCGCCUCAGCCUCUCAAAGUGCUGGCAUUAGAGGCGUGAGCCACUGCACCCUGCCUAAAUUGAAAGUUUACGGAAUCUGGGCUGGGCACGGUGGCUUAUGCCUGUAAUCCCAGUACUUUGGGAGGCUGAGGCAGGCGGAUCACUUUAGGUCAAGAGCUUGAGACCAGCCUGGCCAAUAUGGUGAGACCCCGUCUCUGCUAAAAAAAUAUAAAAAUUAGCUGGGCAUGGUGGUCACCUGUAAUCCCAGAUACUUGAGAGGCUGAGGAAGGAGAAUCGCUUGAACCCAGGAGGUGGAGGUUGCCGUGAGCCGAGAUUGCACCACUGCACUCCAGCCUAGGCAACAAAGUGAGACUCUGUCUCUAAAUAAAUAAAUAAACAAAUAAAAAGGUUUACUGAAUCUGAAAUGUUUGUGAUCCAGGCAAAAAGUGCUAAAUAUCUAAUACAGGGAAGUAAUUGGGAGCUCUGUUCUUUCUGCUCAAAUUUUCUGUUAACAUAAACUGCUCUAACAAAUAAUAUAUUACUUUUGAAAAUGUACUGUAUUUUAAUCUGCUGUGGGUUGCCUUUAACAACAUGAAUGGAUACUUAAUAAGAAAAUGUCAUUUUAAUCAUUUAUUGGCUUUUUAAAAAAUAUAUAUGUAAUAGAAAUUUAUAUCCUAAAAUAUAUCCUUUUGCUUUAGAAUGAUGGCAGAGCUAUAUAACUUUGGCAAAUUUGGGUGGAUUAUAUUCGAAUCACUAAUUGCUAAUACUAAAUUAUCUCACUAGACCUUUUAACACUGUGUUUGUUUUUUGUUUUUGUUUUUUGUCUUUUUUUGCAUAUUGCUUUUAUUUUGCAGAAAAUGUUUUGCUGAUUGUCUUUGGCUAUUUUGUCAGAAGAAAAAUAUAACUGUUAUAAGUUUAACAAUACAAGAUACAAUUACAUGUGCUCAAAAUAAACUCAUUCUAAUGGACUGAAUGGUGAAAUUUCCAUUUCAACUAAAAUCUGUUGUUCUACACAAUGGAUUGAUUAUAUCCUUAACAGCUCAAUUACUAUCUGAAAAGUACUCUAAAGCUAUAAGAAAUAGAAUUAAGUGUGAUUUCAUGUCACUAAAGUAAGAUCAGUGGAGUUUAUAAAUGUUAAUAUGUCCAAGUCAUCUGUAUGCUAUUAUUAGAAAUAAAAAAUAAAUUUCUGGACCCUAGCAAAUAUAUGUUUAUAAUGAAUUAAUAAUAACAAAUUAGGC